rnacentral:rRNA from 1 species
GACGAACGCUGGCGGCGUGCCUAAUACAUGCCAGUCGAGCGGACGGAUGGGAGCUUGCUCCCAGACCGUCAGCGGCGGACGGGUGAGUAACACGUGGGCAACCUGCCUGUAAGACUGGGAUAACUCCGGGAAACCGGGGCUAAUACCGGAUAACUCUUUCCCUCACAUGAGGGAAAGCUGAAAGAUGGCAUCUCGCUAUCACUUACAGAUGGGCCCGCGGCGCAUUAGCUAGUUGGUGAGGUAACGGCUCACCAAGGCGACGAUGCGUAGCCGACCUGAGAGGGUGAUCAGCCACACUGGGACUGAGACACGGCCCAGACUCCUACGGGAGGCAGCAGUAGGGAAUCUUCCGCAAUGGACGAAAGUCUGACGGAGCAACGCCGCGUGAGUGAUGAAGGUUUUCGGAUCGUAAAACUCUGUUGUCAGGGAAGAACAAGUACCGGAGUAACUGCCGGUACCUUGACGGUACCUGACCAGAAAGCCACGGCUAACUACGUG